GUAUGGAGAUCUAAAUUGCAGAAAGACCCCUUAUCCGGAAAACACCAGGUCCUCCGCAUUCUGGAUAACAGGGCCCGUACCUGUACACCACAAGUGACACUAUGAACAUGAAUGUGUCCUUAUAAAUGGUGCUUAGUGAUGGUUUCAGUUAUAAUUUGUGCUAAUUGAUGGACAUUUCUGUCACAUGAUUCAAAACUCAUGUCUUAUAAUAAAUAACGUUCCUAAUGUAAAAGAUGAGGAUAUUAGAAGUCACCAUGGAGUUCCAUGACCUGUAUAAAAGCACUCAAGUCAUCAACCUCAUGCAUUUAUAUGGUCAUGGAACUACUCAGUGACUUUUAAUAUACUAAAUUGUUUCCUAGAUGUAUAUUGUGUAUGUAACACACAUGUUUAAAAUGAAUAUCUAUAACAUCGCAAUGCAUUGCAGCACUCCCAAGCUCCUGUACCCCAAGUAUAUGCACACCUAAUCCAGGAAACAUAGCCCCUUGCCACUUGUAUAAAACAAAAUAUUUCCACAGGAUGCCAAUGUAAUGCAAUGUCAUUGGGAUCUGGCCUAUUCCAUAGCAAGCAAUUUUUUUAUUGGACACUGAUCUUAUCUGCUGUGAUGCCAUAGCACUGAACACUGGCCAAAUGGCUGGACACUUUAUUCCUUGCAAUAAUAUGUUAUUUGCCACUGACCUAAUUCAUUGCCAGUCAUUUACAACAGACACUGCCCUGCAAAGCUACCUGGCUGGAUAUUGAUCCAAGUAAAUGGGAUACUGGUUUAUUUCACUACAAGGGUAUUCCUUUGUACAGUGGCCUUAUUGAUUGCAAAGCAGUGAUGUGUCACGUGUUCUUUGCGAUCCAAUCGCAUUGUAUGCAGGCCACGUACAUGCAAGAUUGUCUCUUUGGAAAUAAGUCACAUUAAAAACAUUACAUUUAGCUUCACAAGACCUUCAUCUCAUUUAUAGAGUUUGCCCUCUGGCAGCAGCAGCAGGUUUCCAUCGAGAUCAUGAUUAAAAUGAUGGGAAAUGGGCAAUGAAGGAAAUCUAAUGAACUAAAAGUCUGUCGAGCCACACAGGGUCAUUUCACAGAGGUAAUGUAGAAAUGUCAGCAGUGUAAGGGAAAGUAAAUGCACUCAAAACUGCUGAAAAUGGAAAGAGAAAAGCAUAGUAAUUUAGUAUAGUUUAGCUUAAUACAUAGGCUUGAUAUUGCUUACACUAUAGAUUCAUGCAAUAUAAGUCAGCUUGCCUUGAAAAUAAACAAAUAUUAAGGUUCUGAAGUGGCCUGAGGCUUAAAGUAGAUAAGGAUAUAGCAUCCUUGGGUAGUCAUGCCAUGUUUAGCCUGUAUCUGAUUUCAUUGGGAGGUUAAGGUGUAGCCAUGGCCAUUGCUAAGUGUUUAGCCAAGCUUUCUGGCAGUGGUGCAUCUAGCUGGGCCCUACCAUUAUCCUGUUACAUACCCUGGCCCCCGCAGCUGGGAAGCAGUACGCACGCCCGUUGCUUCCAUAGCUCAUCGUUCAUUGGGAUGAGCGGCCCAUCAAGUUCAAAGCUCUAAUGUUACACGUUAAGGAUACCUGAACUUCCCAGCUAGGAAAUGUCGGCAUGCUCUGAUGGAGAUGGCAGGGUAACUGCUGGCUCAGGCCCUUUUAACCCUAUUACAGCCUGAGAGCAAUAAUAAUGGUGACUUGUGCUCUGGAGCUGGAGAUUUUACGUUCUCUGUUAAUAAAAGUGUUCUAAUUGCUUAGCCAUUUAAGCAGCGCUGAUAGGAGCAGGGUGUAUGUAGGCUCUAUGGAUCAAAAUAAUUGCUUGAAAUGUACCAAUAAGGGCUUAAAAUGGCUAACUAGAAUAAGAACGAUUUAUGUGGAAGAGUUCAUAUAAAGUUAUCAGAAGAGAUAAAAAUGAAUAGGCAUGUGUGGCACAGGGUGAUGCAACAAACUAUAAUUUGGGACAGAAAAAGGGUUUGAGGAGGAGCGAAAUAUAGAGUUUUAGAAGAUACAGAAUGUGACCUUGUAGUUGACAAGUAAUGGGAGGGCAAUGGGCCCAAAGAUCUGCAGUUCUGAUUGGCCACCAGCUGCUCCAGCUCCCAUGCAACCUUUACAUUGCGUGUAUGUAAUGGAAUGUUGCAGUGGGCAUUUGGCUUUUAAUGGAUUGGGAAGUGUUAAUUCAGGAAACAUUACAUUACCUAUGUGCAGCCCAGUUACACUCAGACAUGACCAUGAUCCACUGGAAACUCAAUUUCUCAAUACCCUGAAAACAAUUGAAACCAUUGGGAGGUGCUUGUGUUGCAACUGAAUGCUGCCUCUUUUUUUGAAUUAUUGAUUUGUUUUAUACCCUUAGAGCCUCCUUAUUUCUACAAUCAGGAGUCUUUGUUUUAAAAGGAGAUAAUGAGCUCCAUAUAAACAAGCCUCUCCCACCCGCUGGCUGCCUCCUGUGUCUCAGAUUUCCAGAUAAACAGGAAUUCAUUAUGCAGUGUUUGUGUCAGUGGACUAAGAAUUUGAUUAACUACUUUCUCCCCCCAAUCCCUCCUUAUGGAACUCAUAUAUACUCUUUAUGCUUUUUCUUUGGUUAUGAUAAAAUUAUUUUUUUAUUAUGAAUUUUAAAGAUUUUCUGAGGACCUGACUGGUGCGGCAUGCAAACCUCAGCCGGCGACAAUCACCAAAUAUUAUUGGCUCAAGGAAUAAAAGAAAUGCAGGGCCAUAUAAAGAAAGUCUUGGAAUACCUUGAUGUUAAUAACUGGCUGCUUGGCAAGUCAACUGAUGAAGUGUUUGACCUUCUGCUUGUAAAUAAGUGCUGGGGCAUGCUGAUUAACAGAGCGGCUCGUGGAGACGGGAGGGGAGCCCAGAUGCCAAGGUCACUGUGAAGAGGGCAUUAGGGAGAGCAGUGCCAAGCAUAUCGCCCCAGAUGCUCCCUCUGUCAAUGGCAGAUGUGACUGAAUAUUCAUAACAAGUAGAAAUGAUUGUUUGUUUGCUAGGAUUUAUAGAUGAUAAACCUGUGUCCAAGUCGAGUUGCUAUGGAAGCCAAACAAAUGCAUAUGGGUUUAUUUUGCUGUUAUUACGGAGGGUUUGACCUCAUUGGAGGGUGGAGGGAACAGGUGCACACUAGCACACGUAGUAUGGCCAAAGGCAUUCAUUGCUAAGGAUGGACAGUUAUUGGCAUAGUGCUCCUUUCUGCAGAUUCCGUAAACAAAAGAAAAAUAAACAGGAGUUUAAGAACUCAAACUGCUAAAUAUUUGCUAUACAUGAACCCAUAAGCCAGAAUGGCAUAGACCUGUUACUCGUACCCAAAUGGAUAAACAUACAAACACUUGUGAAAAAUGUGUAAAGAAGUAGUUGAAUUCUUAAUUAAUCAGAUAAAAGUGAGUGUAGGACUGGCCAGAGCGGGGAAGACUUUGGCAUAGUUGGCCAGUUUGAAGUAUAUUGCAAUAUAUGGACAAACAUAUGUUUUUAGCAGUUUAAUGGUUACGGUGCAGGCUAAUAUAGCUCACACUCCGGAUGGGGGACAAAAUUGUUUUUUUUUUUUUUAAAGAAUAGUAUGCUAUGGACAGCCAUGUUGUGACAUACAAGAUACUCAUAAUGAGUAAGAACCACAACUUAUUCAUUAUGUGACACUUCCUUUGUAUAGUGCUCACUGGGAUGGGCAUGGAGAUACAUGAUACAAUUCAUCGCUAAGGUGCUUGCAUGCAAAAGCAUAUGCUCAGGGCUGCCAUCAAAAACUUGUCUUUUCUUAAGUCCCAGUGUAUGUAUAACAUUUAAGGACCUUUACAUCAUGCAGUACAAAUUGUUGGUUUUUAGGACCCAAUUAAUGCCCAUGCACCUACAGCUGUACCCUCUGCACACUACUGAUGGCUUCCCUCUAUAUGCUUAGCAGUGCUAUAUCUUUACGGUUCUCAUCUAUAAGUGUAUGGUCCUUUUAAACCUCCCUUUGUAUGGCAUGUACCCUCAUGCCUUCCUCUCAUGGUUCCCGUCUGUUGUAAUGGGUCACCUAUGUAUUUCAUUUUCUAAUGUUUGGCCCUACCAACAAUUAUUCUGUAUGGUGCUCACCUACCAGAGUAAGACACACUUCCUCUGUAUAUGAAGUCGGAGCCUGGGUUUGCCAUAUUAUUUCCUCUAUAGCAAUAAGCUGCCAUAUGGGACACUGCUAAUAAAUGCACAUUGCUGGUCUAAACUGAUCGCAAACUAAUUGCAGCUUUGGACUGUGUAUUUAGAGCCCAGUGAGACUAAUGCCACCGCUACCUGCACAAACUCCCUACCCCAACUCACUUCUCCCAACUCCCAACCAGGCCAGAAUCAUGAAGCUGUGAUGUUUAAUAUAAUGAAUGUCGCUGCUGGGUUGAGCCGGGGGGAGUUUGGGCCACUGGACUUGUUAGUAUCCCAGUGAGCCAGUCCAGCCCUGACUAAUUGCAUUCAAACUGAAAUGUGCAGCUAGAUUUUCUAGAGAUGACCUUGACAUUUUACACAGUAAUCUAGAAAUUUUAGGGCCUAAUACUACAAUGAGUUGGAGAUAAACCCAUGUAAGUAGCCUUAUAUCUAUCCCACUUCCCUUGCCAUAAUGAGUAGAUCAGUACCAUUCAGUAUGCGAGAAGCCACACUAUACAGCAUACAACUUUAUGACCCUUGAGCCCUUUGGUUUGAUUAGUCAAAUAUUGUCCUGUAUGUGGCCAUAAUAAACCUCUGCGACUCUGGAGCAGAUAUAAUACUUUACUUAUUUUUAAUUCCAUAAAAACAGCCCAUUCUUACUGUAAGAUCAUCCACCAUUUGAUAAAUCAUCUCUGGUUCAUUAGGGCAGCUAUUCCGGUGGUCUAGCAAAGAAUGCUUGCUAACCGCUUAAUAAUAAGCAUCACGAACCAGGAUCUUUUGUGGAUCUUUUGCGCAUCACAAACCCAGUUUUAUUCCCAAACCUGAACAGAUGUUGCACCAAUCACGGUCUCACACACGUACAUGCACCCACACACACGUACAGAAGCACUUGCACCCAAACACACGUACAUGCACCCAAACACACGCA